rnacentral:rRNA from 1 species
GAUGAACGCUGGCGGCGUGCCUAAUACAUGCAAGUCGAGCGAACAGAUGAGAAGCUUGCUUCUCUGAUGUUAGCGGCGGACGGGUGAGUAACACGUGGGUAACCUACCUAUAAGACUGGGAUAACUCCGGGAAACCGGGGCCAAUACCGGAUAAUAUUUUGAACCGCAUGGUUCAAUAGUGAAAGACGGUUUCGGCUGUCACUGAUAGAGGGACCCGCGCCGUAUUAGCUAGUUGGUAAGGUAACGGCUUACCAAGGCGACGAUACGUAGCCGACCUGAGAGGGUGAUCGGCCACACUGGAACUGAGACACGGUCCAGACUCCUACGGGAGGCAGCAGUAGGGAAUCUUCCGCAAUGGGCGAAAGCCUGACGGAGCAACGCCGCGUGAGUGAUGAAGGUCUUCGGAUCGUAAAACUCUGUUGUUAGGGAAGAACAAAUUUGUUAGUAACUGAACAAGUCUUGACGGUACCUAACCAGAAAGCCACGGCUAACUACGUGCCAGCCGCCGCCGUAA